UCUCGCUUAACCUCAGAUUCCCUCUCAGUAUUGGAAUGUAUAGUAAUAGUUUUUGCGGCCUGUUGUAGCGCGGCAGGUUGUUUUAUUCCGGCGUUGCGGAGAGAGGUGCUUGUGUGAUUUCCCCCACCAGUGAGAGUAUAGCGCCUCCGGUCCUGGGGGCGUGAUCGCUGCCUUCACCUCCGUGGCAACUCACACAGCCUUAAGUGAAGAAUCAAGACACCUGCCUAGCCGUUGUUGUGAGGGCUCCUCCUCAGUGGAGCCUGCUGUCUUGUCUUGUCUUGUUUGGUUUUGAAUUGUUUUACCUUGUCUUAUUUGGUUUUAUUAAGUAGGCCUACCAUUUCCUGGUUCGCCUGGUUUUAUUUUAUUUUAUCUCUGGAUUGUUGCGUGUGCCCACGCUUCUGUGAUCGGGCUGAAGCAAUUCUUUGCCCGAGUGUCGUGCCGGGGAUUUUAAAUUGCCCCCGUUGCUGGUCUUAGCCUGUGGGGAGCCAGACCAGCUCGCGAUUGAGGCUGGGACCAUUACUACCAUGAACGGAGGACGUACCAGUGGCCCUGGGACCUUAGGUGGUGGGUCGUUUUCACACUUUCUUUUGUACAGCACCGGGUGGGCUGCAGUGAUUUUCGUUUUGUGUGAUUUUCUUUUGGGUCCACGGCUGCUGGUAAGUCCAAGUUCCAUGAUUGUUUUAUUUUCACGUUAAGACACUGUCAACAAUGACGCUACAUUUUGGUUUCUAAUAUUUUAUUUAUUUUUAUUAUAAAUAAACUGUUUUAAUAUUGGAGCCAA